rnacentral:lncRNA from 1 species
CUCACCUCUUUCUGCUCCAGCAGGGGAAGGGCAUCUGUCAGCAGGGUCAUCCAGAAGGAGCAUGGGGCAAUAUGAGCAGUCAUCAGCAUCAGAAGCAACCUGGCAGCUUCAGAGAACCGCUUCUCCCCAUACAGACGGUGGAAUUCACGGUACUUCCCUACACAUGGGUGUUGGAAGGGUAAAAGGCAUUAGUAUUUGUCAGAACAGCACAAGAUGGGAUUAAUGGAUGUUAAGUCAGUUUGUUCUCAUGAAGCAAUAAAUAUGAGACUCCCCCCAGCUGCUUUGGAAUGGGAAUGUUGUGUGUGAAGGAAAGCUAAAAUACAGGCUGUCUGAAAAGACAGUUAAAAAUCUGCCACUGUUCUUGCAAAGAAUUUUGCUGUUUGAAUUUACCUAACUGAUACUGCCUGGUGCUGAGUGUUUGCAGGGUGAGCAACACGAAUGGCUUAGAGACUAGCAGCGUCUGUAAAAAAACAGAAAUAGGAGGAGAGGAGGAAUGUUACAGUCCCAAGCUGCCAGAGUUCAAAAAACAUUCAGACAAUCCUCUCAGACAUAUGAUCUGAUUUUUGAGCAGCUCUGCGUGGAGCCAGGAGUUGGACUGAAUGAUCCUUAUGGGUCCCUUCCAACUCAGGAUAGUCUAUGGUUUUGUUUUUUUUUUUCCUGAUACCUGAGGAGAUUGAGAGGUGUGAAAGGCUUUGCUGUUUAAAUGGAAAAUGAGAACUUUGUUAAUGUAGAAUAUUCUGCUUUUGCUAAAAAUUAUUUGAAUCAAUACCUAGAAUAAUAAUUGGCUGAGAACAAAUGUGAGUUUUAUUCUGUGACUGAUUUAUAUCUGUUUAACUGCAAAAAAUAUAGGAAGUAACGAUUCCCAUUCCAAUAUAACUUUGCUUAACAUUUGAGCUCAAGGUAGAGAUGUGUGAGAGUUCUUCAGUAAAAGCACACCUGAUGUCCCUAAAACUUCUAAAGGAAAACCAAGCAGGAAUGUUUUUUGCUCUUAAGGAAUUGUACAUAAUGUAGAAAGGCAGAUCUCAUCCCUAUAGCUAAAACUUCACAAUUAAACUGCAACUCUCUGGGGCUGAUGCAACCAUCACUGGGUGACACUGCAUGCUGUUUGGAGGAUGACCCAUCUUGAAAGUCAGUUCACUACUGGCUUUAUUGAAAACUUAUCCUAAACUAAGGAAACACAGUUCUAAUUUUGUAAGUGUGAACCAAAUAGGAAUAGAUCAAAUUUUUAAUCAUCCUUAAUAUAAUGUUGUUGUCAGCCAGAAGGGAGUUAGUUCAACUGCCAGAAGAUAAACUGUGUAGAGGUAGCUGUGUUAUAAAUAACAGGACAGCCUGAAAUUUAGGCCCUUCUCACCAAGAAAUGUCAGCCGGUCACUAAGCAGCAUGGAUGGUCCCAAAUUAUCAAUGAGGUCUAAGUCAGAAAAGUAUCCCCUUUCGCAGUAGUCCUUAAGGAAUCUGUGGAGAAAGUAAAUACAGUAAAGGCUUACAGGGGGAGGCUCUUCUGCAUGUUUCUUUUGUACCUACUCAUGCCUUCACAGGCAAGUUUAGUAUACAACUGAAUUUCAUCUUAAUCAACUAUGACUGAGGACUUCAAAAGACAUGCAAACAUUUCCUGGGAGUGGUCAGUGAGUCAGUGUAGGAUGCAUUCUAGAAGAAAAAUAAAGUGUCAGUAGAUUUUGUAGUAGUUGAGAUCUAUUUCUUAAAAAGGAAAGGAAGGAACACAGGAAGCUGAGGCUGGUAGCAACACAAAUAACCUUCCCAGAUCAUAACAAAGCUCUUUUUCUGCUGUGUAAAAAAAUAAUAAUAAUAAUAAAAAAGCAAGCAGCAGAAACAAUUCUAAAAGCUUUUCAUCUCUUUUGUGACAACCUUCAUCAGCACAAAAAGAGUUGCAAGUAAAGCCCCAACCCUUUGUCCAGGUCUAAGCUAAAUGUUAGCAGCAUUUUCAAUUCUAUUACUGGACUGUUUGGUAAAACAGAUAUAUUUAAUCUGUAGAUCUCCUGAAGUACAAUGGUGUAGGAAAAAAACCAGCUAGGCUAUUGCAGAUGACAAGAACCCAAGGAUGUCAUUUUCUAGCCCAGAAGCAGACACCUGGUCUGAGGGAAAGAUAACCCCACUGAGCCUGCAGUGGGACCUUUCCAGGAUGGCUGCCUUCUUCUCAUUCCUACCAGCCCACUACAGCGACAGCCACCUGAGAACUUUUGACGUAGGCUCACCGAUCUGAUAUUAGUGUAGCAAAAGCUGCAUCCUUGGCUCUGAUGCUCCAAGACAGGGCAGAGCCCAACCGAUUAUUUCGCAGAGCUUUCAUGGCCAUGAUUUUACAGAUGCUUCGGACUUUGGAGAAAACAUAGGAGAAAAGAGAAAAUCAAUUUCAGUAGUUCCAUUUGUGUCACUAUGAAACAGUGAAAUUUAAGAAUCAAUCACCUUGUUCAUGCAUCUGUCUCUGCUCACAGAUCCUCAGCACUUUGAGGGCCUUCUGUUCUGUGUUAAGGGGUAUCCGCUCAAUAUGAAGUUCCAAAUAGACCCUGCCAUAUUCUGGACAGUGGUCAAAGUAAUCCACCCCCAGCUGCCACAGACUGAGGGGGGAGGGGGAGGAAAAAGUCAAGCAUUUCAAAUCAUAACAGGAAAGAACAAGUAGAAUUUGAGUCUGCAUUAAUAAUACUUGAUUCUGAUUAACACAGUGUUUGGACCUAAGAUGAGUUUUACUUUCUACUAACUAUCAGCUGCCUAUUAGACAACUCUGGAAUACCUGCAUCUCAAAAAUGCAGCGUACCAAAAAAUGUCACAGAGGCAGUAGCCAUUCUAUCCUGGUUAAUACACUGAUAGGUCUUGAUUGCUGAAAUUCUAACAGUGGCUUAAGUUUUGCCUUUUCAUUUUAUUAUUAUUUUUAUUAUUAUUAUUUUGUUUUGCUGUCCUGAUGUUAAGUCUAGCCUCUGGAGGAAAAAAAAAAAAAAAAAAGAUUGCUACCUGUGGUGGGAGAAGAGUCCUGAGGCGUACUCUAGCAAAAGAAAUUCACGCAUGUUUGAACCAAAACUGGGGAGGGAAUAAAGAAAGAAAAGAAACAGGCAUUACUAUUUGCACCUCCACAGAAAAGCCUCCUGACUUGAUUUUGCCUGCAGUAUGUUUUCACACAAGUUAUCUUAAUAAGCUUCAUAUAUCAAGCCUAAGCUUGCAGGGCAGCUUUCUCCUUGGGGGGAGACCUGCAUGUUUACAGCAUUUAGCAAAUGUAACUUACAGUAAUAACUGCUUUAAGAAACUGAAACAGCAGGAGAAUGCAAAUAGCAGAAUUGCUCAUACUUAAGUUUGCUGAAAACUUAUGUAUGGAGACUCUUUUUAGAUGAGUUUCUCACUAUUCCAAAUAAUCACAAAUAUUUGAGUCGUUGAUAAUAUUUCCGCAAAAAAUUUAAAACCAAACCACAAACCCUAACACUCUGCUGAAGUGCUGUUGAAUAGUUUGUCAAAUUCAUCAGGAUAACAACUGCUUCUGAAGAGUGUCUGGGCUGAUGCAGCACCUUUAUUUUCCAUCUUCUGUAAACGCCGAAGAUGCUCCUUUUUCACCAAAACUGACAUGCUGUUUCAGUCAUUCUUAUGUCUGGGUGACUGAAUAAUCAGUGCAAAUAAAUACUUACUAAAGAUUGUGAGAUUGCAGGAGUUUACAGUGAUCCAGAAGGUCAGUCAGAUGAGCCACAAACCACCAGUUGCUCAGAGCAACGCUGUAUUUGAAACAAGCAAAACAAAGAAAAUGCUUAGCCUAUCACCACCAAGGAACAUGUGAGGUUUUGCACACACAUAAGCUAUAUUACAGCAUAGUGUCUGGUUGCAAUGUUCCAGACCUAAUGGAAUACUUUUAGUUGCUACUUGCUUUGUGUAUUCUUGCUAAAUUCUUUGAAAGGAUGCUCAGUUGGCUGGUGCCCGUAUCCUCUACCCCAAAUACUAUCGGAAGCAAUACGAUAGAGCUAGAGAAACAAGAACUUUAAGAACUCAACCUGCACUCCUUGAUCACUUGGUGAAGCUCAAAUUCAAAGGCUGCCAUUAAAAUUGUGUCUAGAGGCUCAGGGUUGCUUUCUUCACCCAGGAACAUGUCCAUGCUAGACUGUGGAAUAAGAUUACAAGACAUGAUUAAAAAACAGUUGCGAGAGGGUAAAAGGAAAACUAUUUGUUUUGAUGCAAUAGCUUCAUUUAGAUUAUUUUAUGGGAGAGUACAUCACAGAGACUGAACACAGACAAGAAGCAAUAUUUUAGCAUUGGGAAACUGGAAAAACAAUUUGAGGACCAAAACUGGUAACACUAGACACUAAGGAAACUUGGUCUUCAGCCAUUAUUUUUUCUGUAUCAAUCUCCCAGUCAUUUAAAAAUUGUAUGAAAAGUCUUAUGGGUAUGUAGUUUCUGUAAGACAUCAACCUUUCCAAAGCUUUCUUUAAGUACUGUAAUCUUUCUGUGCAUUUAGCUGGAGGAUAUAAAAAUAAUUAUAUUUCUUGCCUGUGCAUAGAACCGCAGUUCCAUUGGCUUCACAGUUGGAUGUGAAUACAGGAGUCGAGUAACCAGAAAGUGGUACCAAGUAGUCAUGAGUUCCUUUUUUUCUAGUAUGGCAUUCUCAUCUCCCAGCAGGAUCUAAGAGGAAGAAAAACAAAGGAGUAGUUCUGCAAAUUCAGCUAUGUACACAGGUGCAUCUUAACCUUUUAAAGGCACUACUACUAUUGUGCAAAGUUUACAAUUUAAUGAAGAGCCUAGGACAGGAAAACAAUUUGCAAAAGUGAUCUGACGAACAGAUGAUUUAACGUAUUAAAGUUAGUUAUGACUACACAUGGCUUCUGAAGAACACAACAUCCAAUACUUGUCCGGUUUCCUUUCUUCUCAACCAAAACACACCUUGCAGAUGGAUUCCAUGUGGGAAUUGGAAGCAAAGGUUCCAUCCUGUAGAUAACGUUGACAUUCUUCAUGCCAGUGCUGCCAUUUCAGCUCCAUCUCAGUCAACGUUUGGGUGUUACCAAGCUGAAUGGAAUAAGAGGCAUAAAAAAAGAAACACCAAGUCACAACAGGUAUUCGUUCUGAAUUCACACUCAUCCAUGCUAAAAAGGUAAUGAGGCUGCUGUCAAUGUUUUCCUUGUUCUCCAGUUGCAUUUGAAGUGUCUUAAUUUGUGUAUCUAAAUUAAGGAAGAGGACCCCAAGACAACCAGUGAAAGAUGCAGCUGCAAUUUUUCCUCCACGGGGAGAUCACUGCAACAGAGGAAAACCUGCAGAUUUUCGGCUGUAUACUUGGGUCUCCUGGGUAGCAGAGACAAGUAUUGUUACUGUAAAGAAUUAAGGCAGAUGUUUUAAUGGUCAACAGCCUGUGAUGUUACAGGAGCCACAGCAGAGAUGAAACAGACUGGACUAAUUCUGUUAUCACUCUUAUCUCCUUUCUUAAUGGAACUAAGGGAAAAAAAAUCUGCUUUGUACAUACACUGGGCACAGGCAUCUUCUUCAUCAAGUCAUCCAGGAUUUUGUACAUGUUCAUUGAUGUGGGAUUUGCAAUAGCUUCCUUGGAGAGCAAGUGGCGUGCUUCAUCCAUUCGGCCUUGCAGCACAAAGAUAUCCACCUGCAGAAAGCACAUCUGUGAGCACCAAGCUGUGCAAGGCUACCACACACCCAGGUGGAAUCUUCAGGAAAGUCAAGUAGAGUUACAAGAUUUCAACUUUAUGCCUUGCUAAUUUAAAUAUUCAACCUCUGUGAAUCGUGAAAUUGAAAGGCUCAAGUUAGGAACAAGGGGCAGGAUGACCUUAACAAUGCUUCAUCUUAAAACUGUACAGACAGAAGCAGCAUCUCAGGUAUCGGUUUCUGAGAUGUGCUACAGUGCUGAGAAGGGAAGAGGAAUACAAGACGCAUAGGCAUGACUUCACCUAAAAACUUUACAGAGGGGCUGUACUCACCACAUUCCAGAAGAGCUUGUGUUUUGAUGGAUUUUCGCUGCCCAGAACUUCACGGACCAUGUUGUCUACAUCACAGAUGUGAAGCUGAACCCAGUCAAGGAGACGAAGCAGGAGAGGACCAGCUUUACACAGAGAAGGUACCGCUGUUAGUUCCCAAACUGUUUGUCCCCAGGCUCUUAAUUUAUGUGCUUCUAACCUUAGCAGUCUGACAAACAUUAGGUGAGAUUUACUAAGAGGAUUUCCAUCUGCCAUAUUCAGACUACAAAGGCAGAGAGUUCCCUAAGUAGCCAAGCUGCAGGAGCACUAGGCUCCAUAUGACAAGUUUUAGACAAAACAGAAGCACAGACCAGAAGAAAAUCUAAACAAAUUACUUGAAAUAAAAGUUCAUUCAUAUCAUAAAUCUUGAAAUACCAAAAGUUCCAUAAAAUGUUUUUGUUUAAUUUACCAUUCUAACACUAUUAUGUGAUAGAAAGUACAGUGAUGAUAGUAGGGUGGCAAAGUCUUUGGCUGCAGCAAAUGAGGACAAGCCCAAAUGCAGCAGCCAUGGACACAGAAAUGGAGGAAAAAAAACUGCUUACCUUGGGAAGGUCUCAGGUAUGCGGGGAUCUCCAGAGAGAUCUCCUCACCUCCACCAUCAGCCCUUAAAUGAGGUCUGGGAAGGGGUGGAUCCUGGCUCCAUCCCUACCAGUCACCCAGUGCAUUGUACUGCAUGCACCUGAGCUCCCCUGGGUUGGCUCUGCCUCCCCACCAGGGGCUCCAUCACUGCUUCAAGCCAUGACUUAGCAUUUCUGCUACAACCAUCAUCUCAUUAUUAACUAAAUAUGAGAUGAAAUCUGGUGGUAGCUAGUUCACUUUUCUUCAGAUUAAAUAAUCUAUAGUUUAUGAAUCCCUCUUUUCAAUUAUGCGAGUACAUUUGUUAGCAUAAUCUAAUUUCCUAAGAAAACAAUUCUGAAGCACUCAUAUAAACAAACUCACUUAUAAAAUAUCACCCUGUCGUUAAAGGAAUUACAUCAGGAUGCGUAAAUUUUAGUUGGUAUCUACAUAUUUAAUGGUUAAGAAUGUGCUUAUGCUUUAAAGUCAAAUAAAUUGGGAACAAGUUUUUGUUUUCUCUCUUCGUUACAUUUCUGUGGGAAAUAAAUAAACCAGUGUAAACUGUAGUUUACUACAUAAGAUGGGGAAAAGUAGAAUGCAUCUUGACAUAAUUUAAUACAAAAAAAUGCAAUUUACUGAGGCACAUCAGGUAUUAGAAUUUAGUGCUGCUUGUCAGACUCUCUACAAUACGUAUUAAAAUGUAGCACAAUGGAUGCUAUCUAUAUUUUAAACAAUUAAUUAUGCAAACAAGACCGCUUUCAGUCUUAACAUCAGAAUUGUUCACUGCUCACCUGGAGCUGCUUCGACAAACAGAAUCUCACACAGAUUCCAGAUCAGCUCCAUAGCAGAGAGAAUAGAAACCUGAAAAAAGCAGAGCUGUGUUUCAGGGUCAGGAAUUGUUCCCAUUAUUUAUUUCUAACUGCACAGCUGAAUUUGCUGUCCAUAGCAAUCAGUUUUUAUAGACAAGAGAAAUGAUAGUUCAGAGAUACAAAUUAAAAGAUAGAAACGAGCUACAACUUCUCUACCCAAACUCAGUUUAGAAAAUAACAACACUGUCUGUGUGUUGAAAUGCAACAGUAAUCGCUCCUCGGGGAAAUACAAAACAGUACAGAAAGUAUUAAGCCUUUUUACUCUCCUGAGAGUUACAAAGAGCACAGAAGGAACGGCUAAUUAAGCAACAUCAGUGCUGUUUAUACAAUAAAACUGCAGCCACAGUGUUGGUCUUCAUGGCUUUACUAACCAGUAUUCAUGCAACUACAUGGCUGUGACUGCAGAUUACCUGAAUGCUGUACUGGCUGUGCAGGGCAGAGUCCCGGGCUGAAACUGAGUAGAAAAUAAGCCAAGUAAAAAAGCAGCAUAUUUACCUUAUUUCACAAUUCUUUCUGAGCUCAUAAAUAUAAUCCCUGACCACUCACUGGGUACAGACCAAAUGUGUACACAACUGAUAAAGCUAAGCUAACCUUUCAUAACCCUUUAUAAACCUGGUAAAUUUACAGGACAAGGAUGUUAAGGCAGAGUCAGAUCUCUCACUUUUUCAGGGAAGCAAGCUGUUAAUCUUGACUCAUUUUUCCACAAAACCACAACCCAUGACAUGAAAAGACUGCAGGUCUUCCCAAAAUGAGUUACAAGAUGAUGAACCGACCUGGAAAUCUCAAUGAUGGAAAUGGAAUCUUGUUAAUUACUGAAGUCUGUAUGUGCCAUUUUUCAGUAACUGUAACAACUUGCAAAUGAAAUCUUAUUUUUAUAAUCACAAAUAGCAUCUCCUUUUAUUGCAGUACAACAAACAGACUUACUUGCAGACUGGUGCAUGUCCUCCAUGCAGGCUCUUAUGACCGAGCGGUAGUUCUUACUCACUUGGACUAAUCUGCC